rfam:Felis catus isolate Cinnamon breed Abyssinian chromosome D3, whole genome shotgun sequence.
UGUCACCUGAGAAUUUUCUCACAGUACGACCCUGGGAUGCUGGGAACUGACUUCACAGGCAGGACAGGAGUGAUCCUGGGCGGGACAACCAGCUGGCUGGCUGGCACGCCUUGGAGACAUGCUGCCCACUGGGGCCCAGGGGGUACCCAGGGUAGUUAGGAGG